ensembl:lncRNA
GUCUGGACCAGGAGAAGGAUACAUCGUCUGACCCGAAGAACCAAAUGAAUCAAACUAGAAAGAAGAGAAUGGAAAAGUGCAUAGCUAUAAUGUUGAAAGAGCUAGUAACAAGAGUAGAAAAUGUGUAUUCUGAUACAUCAUGGAACUCAUACAUAGAAAUUUCAAAUGAAAAAUGCAGCCAAUCUGCAUUUGCCAUUAUCUGCAUGGAAGAUAAUACGCUAAAGAUCUUUGACGAGGUUCGUCCAUAUAUUCCAACAAAAAAAUGUCAAAGAACAAAUCACAAUACAAACACAAGACAUAGUGAAGAAAUUUUACUUGAUGACAUGAAUACAUUUUUAGCACAAGAUAAAAAAGUUAAAUGGAUAUUUUUAAAUUCAUAUAAUAGUCCAUGUUUUGAAAGGGAUGAUCAAAUUGAGGGUUGUAUGUUUUUGAUUUUAAGCAACGCUUAUGAAUGGUAUGUAAAAUAUGAUGCUAUCACAGUUUUGACAUACACAAAACCUUGGGGACUUUGUGGACCAGGUUACUUUAAUGAGCUUUCAUCUAAAGACAUCAUGAAUCCUAAGAGUCCUUUCAAGUCUUGUGUUGAGGAAUAUGAGAUUCGCUAUGAAUUGGAUUGUGAGAAUUUAAAUAAAAAAUUAAAAAAUAAUAAAAUAUUGAAGCAAUAUUCAUGUGGUGAAGAUAGUAAGAAUAUUAAAUUUGCUCGAGAAGCUCUAGUGGAGCUGGCUGCAGAAUUACCUCGGCUGCGUAAAGCUUUCUUGGAGCUUGGAGAUAAGAAAAUUGAUUCUUUCAUAUUUCUAUCAGAGAAAAUUAAACCUAUUCUGAAGAAGUUGUGGAGAGAAAAUGUUAACAAUAGUUUUGUGUCAUUGCUUAAAGAAUAUAUUACAACAAUAUUUAACAAAAAAGUAGUUGAUCUUUUUACACAGGAGCUAGAGUCACAACUUGGAAUCAGCAGCUUCAUCCAGCUUCACCAGCUUCCUCCAGUAAAAUUAAAAGAUGAAUACAGACAAAUCUUUUAAAUUCAGAUUUGUAUUUUGUCUAUGAUUAAAUAAAACAGAAUUGUAAUAACCAACUCUGGUAUUUUUUUCCUCAUCAACAAAUUGUACACUAUCUUCCUGCUUACACAUUUAAAGCAAUGAUACAAAGAUGGAUGAGAACAAAACACUUUUAAAUUCUAGUUUUUGGGCAAAGUUUUAUGAUUUUUUUAAAAAAAUCAUACUGUCUUUCUUCACUGAGGCUGUUCAGAAAGAUUUAACAGGUACACAGAGUUCUGUAAAGAAACCAUAAUGGACACAAUGCAGAGAAACACAAAAAAAUUGUGUUUUUUUAUUAGUAUUUUAAUUACCAUUACGAGACUUUGUUAGGUACCAUUGUGCUGUCACAUGAAAUUAUUAUUUUGAUAUGGAGCUUUGAGAGUUGGCACUAACAACAUACAAAUAAACAUCCCUGUAUACAAGACUAUAUGUAAAAAUGACACAAGAUAAAAACACAGAGUGACAUCCUCUUAACACAAGAUAUAUUUUCAG